rnacentral:rRNA from 1 species
AACGAACGCUGGCGGCAGGCUUAACACAUGCAAGUCGAACGCCCCGCAAGGGGAGUGGCAGACGGGUGAGUAACGCGUGGGAACAUACCCUUUCCUGCGGAAUAGCUCCGGGAAACUGGAAUUAAUACCGCAUACGCCCUACGGGGGAAAGAUUUAUCGGGGAAGGAUUGGCCCGCGUUGGAUUAGCUAGUUGGUGGGGUAAAGGCCUACCAAGGCGACGAUCCAUAGCUGGUCUGAGAGGAUGAUCAGCCACAUUGGGACUGAGACACGGCCCAAACUCCUACGGGAGGCAGCAGUGGGGAAUAUAGGACAAUGGGCGCAAGCCUGAUCCAGCCAUGCCGCGUGAGUGAUGAAGGCCUUAGGGUUGUAAAGCUCUUUCACCGAUGAAGAUAAUGACGGUAGUCGGAGAAGAAGCCCCGGCUAACUUCGUGCCAGCAGCCGCCGUAACAC